rnacentral:rRNA from 1 species
GAUGAACGCUGGCGGCGUGCCUAAUACAUGCAAGUCGAGCGAACGGACGUGAAGCUUGCUCUUCUGAUGUUAGCGGCGGACGGGUGAGUAACACGUGGAUAACCUACCUAUAAGACUGGGAUAACUUCCGGAAACCGAAGCUAAUACCGGAUCAUAUUUUGAACCGCUUGGUUCAAAAGUUAAAGACGGUCUUGCUGUCACUUAUAGAUGAAUCCGCGCUGCAUUAGCUAGUUGGUAAGGUAACGGCUUACCAAGGCAACGAUGCGUGGCCGACCUGAGAGGGUGAUCGGCCACACUGGAACUGAGACACGGUCCAGACUCCUACGGGAGGCAGCAGUAGGGAAUCUUCCGCAAUGGGCGAAAGCCUGACGGAGCAACGCCGCGUGAGUGAUGAAGGUCUUCGGAUCGUAAAACUCUGUUAUUAGGGAAGAACAUAUGUGUAAGUAACUGGGCACAUCUUGACGGUACCUAAUCAGAAAGCCACGGCUAACUACGUG